UGGGGAAUAUUGGACAAUGGGGGCAACCCUGAUCCAGCCAUGCCGCGUGAGUGAUGAAGGCCCUAGGGUUGUAAAGCUCUUUUGUGCGGGAAGAUAAUGACGGUACCGCAAGAAUAAGCCCCGGCUAACUUCGUGCCAGCAGCCGCGGUAAUACGAAGGGGGCUAGCGUUGCUCGGAAUCACUGGGCGUAAAGGGUGCGUAGGCGGGUUUCUAAGUCAGAGGUGAAAGCCUGGAGCUCAACUCCAGAACUGCCUUUGAUACUGGAAGUCUUGAGUAUGGCAGAGGUGAGUGGAACUGCGAGUGUAGAGGUGAAAUUCGUAGAUAUUCGCAAGAACACCAGUGGCGAAGGCGGCUCACUGGGCCAUUACUGACGCUGAGGCACGAAAGCGUGGGGAGCAAAACAGGAUUAGAUACCCUGGUAGUCCACGCCGUAAACGAUGAAUGCCAGCCGUUAGUGGGUUUACUCACUAGUGGCGCAGCUAACGCUUUAAGCAUUCCGCCUGGGGAGCACGGUCGCAAGAUUAAAAACUCAAAGGAAUUGACGGGGUCAUAGCUGUUUCC
rnacentral:rRNA from 1 species